UACGUAGGGGGCAAGCGUUGUCCGGAAUCAUUGGGCGUAAAGCGCGUGUAGGCGGCUCGGUAAGUCCGCUCUGAAAGUCCAGGGCUCAACCCUGGGAUGCGGGUGGAUACUGCCGAGCUCGAGUCCGGAAGAGGCGAGUGGAAUUCCUGGUGUAGCGGUGAAAUGCGCAGAUAUCAGGAGGAACACCAAUGGCGAAGGCAGCUCGCUGGGACGGUACUGACGCUGAGGAGCGAAAGCCGGGGGAGCAAACGGG
rnacentral:rRNA from 1 species